UACGGAGGGUGCAAGCGUUAUCCGGAUUCACUGGGUUUAAAGGGUGCGUAGGUGGGUCUGUAAGUCCGUGGUGAAAUCUCCAAGCUUAACUUGGAAACUGCCAUGGAUACUAUAGGUCUUGAAUACCGUGGAGGUGAGCGGAAUAUGUCAUGUAGCGGUGAAAUGCUUAGAUAUGACAUAGAACACCAAUUGCGAAGGCAGCUCACUACACGAAUAUUGACACAGAGGCACGAAAGCGUGGGGAUCAAACAGG
rnacentral:rRNA from 1 species